CACACUCUCUCACACAAACCAAUCACAAUCACAACAAUAACCACCACCAUCAUUCACUCAUCAUUACCCCUUUUUUUUUCCAUCAUGGAUAUACAACAAGAACUUUUCAAAUUGAGACACUACAUUGUUGGCUUUCUCGCCUCUCUCUUAAUCAUCUUUAUUUCUUUUCACAUUCUUCCGACCUUUGUUACCAUUAUAACCUUCUUCUCUCCGCUCCUUCUAUCCACCGCCCUAUGCGUCCUCAUCGGUAUCAUAGUUGCUAACACCACACCCUCUAACAAUAAUCCUGCUCCGAUUAGACCAACGGAGAAUCUCUUCGAUUAUGUCGCCGAUAAUCACUACCACCAUCAACCUCCUCACCACAUUGAACCUCUUCCAGCUGAUAAUUAGAACUCAAAUAAAAGAUUAAAUGUGAUUAAUUGUGAAGAGAAGACGGUGAUAGGUGAUAGCAUAGGACAUAUACAAGUGAGUAGAUCACAUAUAACUGAUUGAAGAUGCUGCUUAAUUAAUUAAUAGAUAUAUAAUAGAGGGAUUAGAAGGCUUAAAUAGUUAAGUUAUCUUAGGCAAGCACAAUCUUUGUUAUGUGCUUUUACUUUCAUUUGUAAUGGAUAGAUGCUACUCAACCAUAAAUAAUACUAGUAUAUAUCUUCUCUUAAA